rnacentral:misc_RNA from 1 species
AACCUAGCACACCUGCGGUGUGUACCUGCGGAGGGAUCAUUACACAAUACAAUAUGAAGGCUGUCCGCAGCUGGAGUAUUUUAUUACCCUUGUCUUUUGCGCACUUGUUGUUUCCUGGGCGGGUUCGCUCGCCACCAGGACCACCAAAUAAACCUUUUUUAUGCAGUUGCAAUCAGCGUCAGUACAAACAAUGUAAAUCAUUUACAACUUUUAGCAACGGAUCUCAGAUCGGAAGAGCAC